rnacentral:rRNA from 1 species
CCUACGGGAGGCAGCAGGGAGGAAUAUUGGUCAAUGGACGAGAGUCGGAACCAGCCAAGUAGCGUGAAGGAUGACUGCCCUAUGGGUUGUAAACUUCUGUUAUAAAGGAAUAAAACGAGGCACGUGUGCCUUUUUGCAUGUACCUUAUGAAUAAGGAUCGGCUAACUCCGUGCCAGCAGCCGCGGUAAUACGGAGGAUCCGAGCGUUAUCCGGAUUUAUUGGGUUUAAAGGGAGCGUAGAUGGGUUGUUAAGUCAGUUGUGAAAGUUUGCGGCUCAACCGUAAAAUUGCACUUGAUACUGGCAUUCUUGAGUACAGUUGAGGUAGGCGGAAUUCGUGGUGUAGCGGUGAAAUGCUUCGAUAUCACGAAGAACCCCGAUUGCGAAGGCAGCUUACUAGACUGUGACUGACAUUGAUGCUCGAAAGUGUGGGUAUCAAACAGGAUUAGAUACCCUUGUAGUC